rnacentral:rRNA from 1 species
UACGGAGGGUGCAAGCGUUGUCCGGAAUCACUGGGCGUAAAGGGCGCGUAGGCGGCUCAUGAAGGCUGUGGUGAAAGUCCGGGGCUCAACCUCGGAUCGGCCGUGGCGACUCGUGGGCUGGAGCACUGUAGAGGCGGGUGGAAUUCCGGGUGUAGCGGUGGAAUGCGUAGAGAUCCGGAAGAACACCGGUGGCGAAGGCGGCCUGCUGGGCAGUUGCUGACACUGAGGCGCGACAGCGUGGGAGCAACAGGG